rnacentral:rRNA from 1 species
AUACGUAGGGGGCGAGCGUUGUCCGGAAUGAUUGGGCGUAAAGGGCGCGUAGGCGGCGCGGUAAGUCUGGAGUGAAAGUCCUGCUUUCAAGGUGGGAAUUGCUUUGGAUACUGCCGCGCUUGAGUGCAGGAGAGGUUAUCGGAAUUCCCGGUGUAGCGGUGAAAUGCGUAGAGAUCGGGAGGAACACCAGUGGCGAAGGCGGGUAACUGGACUGCAACUGACGCUGAGGCGCGAAAGUGUGGGGAGCAAACAGGAUUAGAUACCCUGGUAGUCCACACUGUAAACGAUGAAUGCUAGGAGUAAGAGGUAUCGACCCCUUUUGUGCCGCAGUCAACACAAUAAGCAUUCCGCCUGGGGAGUACGGCCGCAAGGUUGAAACUUAAAGGAAUUGGCGGGG